UAACUUAAGAAUUGGGGAACC
rnacentral:miRNA from 1 species